rnacentral:rRNA from 1 species
GGACCCGCACAAGUAGUGGAGUAUGUGGUUUAAUUCGAUGCAACGCGAAGAACCUUACCAGGGUUUGACAUCCUGCGAAUCUCUUGGAAACAGGAGAGUGCCUUCGGGAACGCAGUGACAGGUGGUGCAUGGCUGUCGUCAGCUCGUGUCGUGAGAUGUUGGGUUAAGUCCCGCAACGAGCGCAACCCACGUCUUUAGUUGCCAGCAUUUAGUUGGGCACUCUAGAGAGACUGCCGGUGAUAAACCGGAGGAAGGUGUGGAUGACGUCAAGUCAUCAUGCCCCUUACAUCCUGGGCUACACACGUACUACAAUGCUACGGACAAAGGGCAGCAAGUUCGCGAGGACAAGCAAAUCCCAUAAACCGUGGCUCAGUUCAGAUCGUAGGCUGCAACUCGCCUACGUG